rnacentral:rRNA from 1 species
CGCUGGCGGCGUGCCUAAUACAUGCAAGUCGAGCGAAUUGACAGAGGUGCUUGCACCUCUCGAUUUUAGCGGCGGACGGGUGAGUAACACGUGGGUAACCUACCUAUAAGACUGGGAUAACUUCGGGAAACCGGAGCUAAUACCGGAUAAUAUUUAGCUUCGCAUGAAGCAAUAGUGAAAGACGGUUCUGCUGUCACUUAUAGAUGGACCUGCGGUGUAUUAGCUAGUUGGUGAGGUAACGGCUCACCAAGGCAACGAUACAUAGCCGACCUGAGAGGGUGAUCGGCCACACUGGGACUGAGACACGGCCCAGACUCCUACGGGAGGCAGCAGUAGGGAAUCUUCCGCAAUGGACGAAAGUCUGACGGAGCAACGCCGCGUGAGUGAAGAAGGUUUUCGGAUCGUAAAACUCUGUUGUAAGGGAAGAACAAGUACGUUAGUAACUGAACGUACCUUGACGGUACCUUACCAGAAAGCCACGGCUAACUACGUGCCAGCAGCCGCGGUAAUACGUAGGUGGCAAGCGUUAUCCGGAAUUAUUGGGCGUAAAGCGCGCGUAGGCGGUCUCUUAAGUCUGAUGUGAAAGCCCCCGGCUCAACCGGGGAGGGUCAUUGGAAACUGGGAGACUUGAGUACAGAAGAGGAGAGUGGAAUUCCAUGUGUAGCGGUGAAAUGCGCAGAGAUAUGGAGGAACACCAGUGGCGAAGGCGGCUCUCU